UUGCUUCUGGAGCACACAUACUGAAACAGGAAUAAUACAGAGAAAAUUAACAUGGCCCCUGUGCAAGUAUGACACACAGGUUCAUGAGCAUUUCAUAUUUUUU